AUUGAACGCUGGCGGCACGCCUAACACAUGCAAGUCGAGCGGCAGCGCGAUAUGUAGCAAUACAUAUUGGCGGCGAGCGGCGGACGGGUGAGGAACACGUAGGAACCUACCCUCGAGUGGGGGAUAACCAAGGGAAACUUUGGCUAAUACCGCAUGAUUUCGAGAGAGCAAAGCUGCCGCAAGGUGGCGCUCGGGGAGGGGCCUGCGUCCGAUUAGCUAGUUGGUGAGGUAAGAGCUCACCAAGGCGAUGAUCGGUAACUGGUCUGAGAGGACGACCAGUCACACUGGGACUGAGACACGGCCCAGACUCCUACGGGAGGCAGCAGUGGGGAAUAUUGGACAAUGGGGGCAACCCUGAUCCAGCGAUGCCGCGUGAGUGAAGAAGGCCUUCGGGUCGUAAAGCUCUUUAGGUUGGGAAGAAGAGUGAUGGAGGAAAUGCUAUCACUUUGACGGUACCGACAGAAUAAGCACCGGCAAACUCUGUGCCAGCAGCCGCCGUAAUAC
rnacentral:rRNA from 1 species